CGGGACGGGUGAGUAACGCGUGGGUAACCUGCCUCAUACAGGGGGAUAACAGUUAGAAAUGACUGCUAAUACCGCAUAAGACCACAGUGCCGCAUGGCACAGGGGCCAAAGCCUUGACGGUAUGAGAUGGACCCGCGUCUGAUUAGGUAGUUGGUGGGGUAACGGCCUACCAAGCCGACGAUCAGUAGCCGACCUGAGAGGGUGACCGGCCACAUUGGGACUGAGACACGGCCCAAACUCCUACGGGAGGCAGCAG
rnacentral:rRNA from 1 species